CCUACGGGCGGCAGCAGUGAGGAAUAUUGGUCAAUGGUCGGGAGACUGAACCAGCCAAGCCGCGUGAGGGAUGAAGGUACAGAGUAUCGUAAACCUCUUUUGUCAGGGAACAAAGGCGGGGACGUGUCCCCGGCUGAGUGUACCUGAAGAAAAAGCAUCGGCUAACUCCGUGCCAGCAGCCGCGGUAAUACGGAGGAUGCGAGCGUUAUCCGGAUUUAUUGGGUUUAAGGGGUGCGCAGGCGGUCUGUUAAGUCAGCGGUCAAAGCCCGGGGCUCAACCCCGGCCCGCCGUUGAAACUGGCAGUCUCGAGUUGGAGAGAAGUAUGCGGAAUGCGCGGUGUAGCGGUGAAAUGCAUAGAUAUCGCGCAGAACUCCGAUUGCGAAGGCAGCAUGCCGGCUCCACACUGACGCUGAGGCACGAAAGCGUGGGUAUCGAACAGGAUUAGAUACCCGGGUAGUC
rnacentral:rRNA from 1 species